rnacentral:misc_RNA from 1 species
GUGAAUCAUCGAAUUUUUGAACGCAAAUUGCGCCUUUUUCUGAAGGCAUGUCUGUUCGAGGUCACCAUUUAACAAAUAAUGUGCCGCGUUUUUUGUUGCACACGUUGAUGAGCUUUCCAAGAAUUUUAACUUUUCGGUGGCGCAUAAUGAACAUCGAGAAUGUUUUUUUCAGUUCGAUUGUAUUAUAAUCUUUGCUUGGGUUGU